UGGCAUCCUUUGUGAGACACCAGCUCCGGGAAGCCCUGGGCACAGGAAUAUGGCCUCUAUUUCAUGCUCCCGUUUACCUGACCCAUGGAUUAUGUUCUGUGACUUACCUAUGUGCCUGCCUUUCUCCCCCAGGCUGUGAAUCCAAGAAGUUUGGAGUCAUCACUCAAAUACUUUUUGAAUGUGGCAGUUACUGGUGAUGAGCAGGCCAUGAACAGGUGCAUAUUGGUGCGUGGAUAGAGGAAGGCAGGAAGAGCUAUCCUCACUACCUCAUUUAUAAAGUUGGUGCUGGCCGUACAUCACAACAGGUGCCUGCUUCAAACCACCACCAGAUGCUGGGACCACCCACCAUGGCAGGUGAUGUACUGUCACCCCCAGAAUUUUGCUGACUUACAACCCUGAAUCUGAACCAAACCUGAAUGCUAGUGUCACCCUGUGUUUGGGAGGAAAAUGGAAGUAUUUAAUUUUCGCCAGGUUUUCAAGGCCUUCCAUUGAACUUUGCCAUCACUUCCGUAAUUAUACAGUGAUGCCACAGCAUCCAUAUCUGAAAUGCUCAGGUGCAAGAGACAACAGGUGACCUUUUUUUUUUUUUUUUAAUAUUGUAUUUACUUAUU